rnacentral:lncRNA from 1 species
UCCUUCUCCACAUGUGCGUCCACAAAUUUAAUAAUUCAUUAGUACGUAAAGGCUUUACGAGGUAGUCGGCUGCUCCGAGUCUCAGACACUUAACAACAACAGAUACCUCAUCUUGUGCAGACAUCACUUAACAAAAACAUUAAAGACAUUGGUGAGGAACAGAAAAUAGUUUGGCUACAUAAAGAGUCUCACAGGUUGGUUACAAGAUAAAGAACCAAAGCUUACUUAUAACAGGAAUUCGGCGUAAUUCAUUAUCUCGCGCUAUGUACUUCAACAUCUUCAUUCCCAUCUUUAUUGGAAGGUCAACUUCAGCUAGUAUGAUAUCUAUAUGCUGUUCCUCAGCAUUCAGUGCAUCAAUCACUUGCCUUACUGACUUUACUGAAGUAACUGUAACACAUACAAAUCUCCAGUGUGUAGAAAUCUCAGAGAGCAUGCCAGCAUUUGCAGAAGUUUUACAUUAUACAAGCCAAACAGGAAUCAGAAAGCAUUCAAGAUAAUUUCAUUUAUAAACAUGGUGCACCUGAGUCGGCAUGCUGCUCCAAUCAUAUUUUUUGGUUUCCCACAGCUAUCCUCGCACUGGAGGCACUCCUGUCCGAGUUGGGAACAUACACAGCACUAAAGCAGAUCUCUAAAGCAUUAACAAAAUGUACUUAUUUUAAUUUUUCUUGAAUGUGGAGAGAAAGUAUAGGCCAAAAUUGGCUAAAAGAAGUUGAGAUUUAAAAAGAAAACAAUUUUUUAUAAUAGUUUAUGCAAUUUUAUGGUAUUCAAACAAGUUGACCUAUACUAUCAUAUGAAGUAACUAGUUGGGGAUAAAAUUGUAUAAUUUCAACUUCAAUAAUGGAGGAAAUUAUUAUUCAAUUCUAAAUCUUGGAAAAAUAGCAGCUGAAGGAAAAAUAGGAGCAUACCUGUUCGGCGAUCACUAAUUCCAGGCACACCAGGCUGAUAUUCUGAUACAUGAGCAUCUGGAAUCUCCUCAACAUCAUCAACAGCUACGGCAAUACUAGCCUGAAAAAGGUGAAUGAUACACAAACUGUAAUGUAACAUACAACUAUAACAUCUCUGGUCUGCACUUAAACACCAGCAGCUGGCCCGAAAAGGCAUCAGGGUGAUACUAGAAUUACAUUCAUAUGCACAUGCAAAAAAAAAACACCCACCCUCCUUUUCUGCACUUUUAUGUAAUCCAAUGGUACUAUACAGGUUGUGACUUUUUAAUUUAUGACUUCAAUUUUUGUGAAAAUAGCAUUUUUCCAAUAUAUUACCCAAGAACUUUCAUCAGAACUGUAGCUUAAGAUUCCCUUUGAAAACGCAAAAUUCAUUUACUUUUUACUCAAAAAAUUUACAGUACCUAUGACUUAUAGGGUUUAUAAUGCAAUCACUGUAUUAGCAUCAGAAUUGACAUCUCCUUUUCAUUUGAAAGGUGACAUGGAAAAUGAGAAGCAUGCAAUUAUAAAGAGUGCCACUCUAAAAGGUAGAAUAAUUUGCAAAACAAGCUCAAAGUAGAUUAAAAACACACUUUCUCCAUAUAAUCAAAUUAAUUUCAAGGUUCACCAUGGUGUACAACAGCACAAGGUCAUUAAUUUCUGGCCAUUUUUAACCUAUCACUUUAAUUAUAUAAUCACUGUAGUACUAUUUCAGUUUUUCUAUAACACUCACCUCUUGAACUUGUUGGAUUGAUAUCCCUGCCUCUGGAUUAGUGCUUCUUUUCGACUUAUCAUCUGUGUCAUCGGAGAACAAGGUGGUACUGGUCUUGUUGGCAUCACUUGGGUCUGAUGCUACCAGGUCAAAGUCAUAAUUUAAAAUGUUGUUCUCUACAAGUCCAAGCUGCCAGCAUAGAAUAAAACACUCAUUUCAAAGAUCUAAGUUGUGCAUUAGAAAACUUAGAGAAAAGUAUUGUACAACGGAAAAAUGCAAAUGACCAUGCACAGUAUGCAAUCAAGCUAGAGUAAAGGGGAGAGGUUACCCCAACAUUUUAUAUUCCCUUUAUGGUUCUUGCAUGUGAAGUCUCGUAGUAGAUCUAGGUGGAUAGUCCCCAUUUCCACAUUCUUCACAUAUGAUGAAAUCAUGUAGCAUUUUGUAAGGCAACAAUCAUAAGGUUCAUGCUUUCAUGAUCAUUUUAUUCAAUUUUAACUCACCUAAGAGUAGUCAAUGACAAAUUUACAAAUAUCGUCAGGCAUGCCAUGUUUAGAACACUUUAUUUUAUUUUAUUGAUAGCAAAACAAAAUCUUUUAAGUGUAAAAAGAAAGAGGAUAGCACAUCCUCAUCACAGAAAUAAGACAACAGAUAAGAAGUGAAAACAGGAGAUUCGAUCUUGUAACAAGGCAUGCCAAUCUCACUGUGUAUCAGCAUACAUCUUGUAUUGCCUAUCGUUAACUACAGUACUUGGAAACUAAUAAUGUUAUGGAUAAACACAAUAUGGUGAACAUCCAUGAAUAAGAAGUUGGGAAAUUAAUACCAUGCGUCUCCUUCUCCACAUGUGCGUCCACAAAUUUAAUAAUUCAUUAGUACGUAAAGGCUUUACGAGGUAGUCGGCUGCUCCGAGUCUCAGACACUUAACAACAACAGAUACCUCAUCUUGUGCAGACAUCACUUAACAAAAACAUUAAAGACAUUGGUGAGGAACAGAAAAUAGUUUGGCUACAUAAAGAGUCUCACAGGUUGGUUACAAGAUAAAGAACCAAAGCUUACUUAUAACAGGAAUUCGGCGUAAUUCAUUAUCUCGCGCU